rnacentral:tmRNA from 1 species
GGGGCUGAACGGUUUCGACUUCGCGCAUCGAAUCAAGGGAAGCGUGCCGGUGCAGGCAAAGACCACCGUAAGCGUCGUUGCAACCAAUUAAGCGCCGAUUCCAAUCAGCGCGAUUACGCUCUCGCUGCCUAAGCGAAGCUAAUCCGUCAGACCGGGAGAGCCCUCGACCCGGACCCUGGCGUCAUCUAGAGGGACCCACCCACGGGUUCGGUCGCGGAAUCCGUGGGGACAUCAAACAGCGACUGGGAUCGUCAUCCCGGCGAGUCCGCGAGACCGGGAGAUCCAAGUAGAGGCAUAGCGGACUGCGCACGGAGAAGCCUUGAGGGAAUGCCGUAGGACCCGGGUUCAAUUCCCGGCAGCUCCACUG